UUGUUUCUCUGUUUCGCCACAGGAUUUACACAAGCUCCAGUAUGGAUCCAGAACCCCUGAGAAGAGAUGAUUCCAACCCCUCAGAGGACCUCAGAUGACCCUGAAACAACAUACACAACUAACAAAUAUAGCCACAAGUACAGUUCCUCACAGAGCAUCAAGUCAGAGCACUAUGGGUAGCCAUUCAGUGCCACUGUCAGCAGGGAAUUCUCCAGUGGUCUACGGGAGCCGGUGAUGAAUCCAUCCCAUAAUGUGGCGAGUCACCAUGGGAAACGCCUGUGUUCAAACUGCCCUCUGGCUACAAAUAAGCCUCUGUGUCCUCCCUGGGACCCCCGCCAUGAUUUAUAUACCUCAGUCCAAAAGCAAUACGGAUAAUCACAUCUCAAAAUAUUUUUAUAUGUCACAAAGCUGUGCUUUUUUUUUUACCAGAUCCUUUUAGGGGAAAGACAUCAGGCCUAAUAAUGUAAUCACCAUUCAGGCCUGUAGUCAAGCAAUGAGCACACUGCAUUGCUGACCUGUUAACUGACUCUCUUAUGAUGCCGCAAUACAUUAAACACUGCCUCUCA